UUUUAAACCCCCCCCCCGUACUACCUAAUACACCCCCCGGCUUUAAAAUUUAUUCAAAUAAGGUACAGCCUAUUUGAAACAGGAUACAACCUAUUCAGCAGGGUAAUGUUCUGCCUACAUAAAUAAGUUGGCCUAAAAGCAGCCACCUUUCAAAAAGCGUCAUAGCUUAAUCAUACAGCAUCACUAAUCACUAUUAAAACUCAAAACCCUCCCCCUCUACUGAAUGAAUCUAUACUUAUAUAGAAAACCUUAUGUUAGAACUAGUAAUAAGAAAAAUUUCUCCUUAAAGCAUGCAUAAGCCAGAAUGAACCACUCCCUGGCACUUACCGCCAUAAACAGUACUAACCCCACAAGAAAAAUUUACUCUUUCUAAUCGUUAACCUUACGCCAGAGCUUUACCGGAAGAUUAAAAAAGGAGGAAG
rnacentral:rRNA from 1 species